AAGAGACGUUGCCCUUCGGGGUAUACCUCCCACCCUUUGUUUAUUAUACCUUUGUUGCUUUGGCGGGCCCGUCCUCGGACCACCGGCUUCCUGCUGGUCAGUGCCCGCCAGAGGACCUAAAACUCUGUUUGUUAAUAUUGUCUGAGUACUAUAUAAUAGUUA
rnacentral:misc_RNA from 1 species